AAUUAGCACGCGGGUUGUAUUUUCUCCCUCACUCGAAUCAGGCUCCCAAAUCCCCCAAAUUCCCAAUUAAACUGCCCAUCCACUAUUCUGCUCUCCUCUAAACCUGGACUCCAUCAUCAGCGACAAGAAAAACAUCAUUCCUUUUUGGUUAAUUUUUGGGUUUUGCUUGCUAAACUUCAAGGAAUUUGGGGGUUUUUGGAUCGUCACUUUCAUAAAUUUCAGAACAAGAAUCGAUCUCUUAUUGCGAGAAACCAAUAGUUCCUGCGGAGCUGUACUGAAAAGUGCGUGACUCUCAUCUUGUAGGACUUUCAGGCUACUCAAAAGAGGGGUUAACAGUUGAACUAGCUGGAAAAUGAUAUGUACCUUGAUGUGGCCUUAGGUAUGGACACUCUUGGGCACGCUGACCCUAUCUUCAGCCAACAAGACCUCCUCAUAACCCAUAUCUUCAGCAGAGUUAACUGGGAGGACGAAGUCAACGUCCAGCUGGUGUGCAAGAAGUGGGAAUUUGGUGGCGCCUCCGUCACUUGGCUCUCCGUCUCCCUUUCUAUGGCCCACAUGGUGAAGUGGCGGAGUGGAUUUUGAAGGACAUCGUCUUCCAUGGGGGCAGGGACUUCCACGCCUGGAUGACCAAAGACAUGACGGUGUACUUCGACGGAUUCCCUCUGCUGUUCAAGGAGGAUUAGGGAACCUAGGAUGUGGGUAGGGUAGGAAGGGGGGGUCUUUUUUUGGAGCAGCUGAUUAGGAAUGGAUGUAUAGUCAUGAUGCUGCUUAGUUAAGCUAAUUAUGGUGUUUUAGUUGCUUGUUCAAUGUCAUGGGACGGUAGUCUUUUGGAGUGACAAAAUGUAGGGCCUUUUGUAAUUUUGUCACUGCCGUGACAUUGUUUAGUUUCAUUUUAAUUAUGUCUGGUUUGUAAACAAAUAACAAUGCUGGUUUUUGGUGGUGGAUGUUUAUAAAUGAUAAAUUGGAAUGGUUUAUGCUUAUUUAUCAAUC